GGGUGAGUGGUGAAAUUGGUAUACACGCAGCCUUGAGGUGGCUGUGACGCGAGGGUGGCUGUGCCGCGAGGCGUAGAGGUUCAAGUCCUCUCUCACCCACCA
rnacentral:tRNA from 1 species